rnacentral:lncRNA from 1 species
CGACAUGGUUGCGCCGGCGGUUCCAAGCGGGGCGCAUCGUGAAUGCCGGGGAAUACCUCCUCGGUGACAGUGGCUACCCCUUGGAGCCGUGGCUCCUGACCCCGGUUCCUGGCCAUCCUCCAGUGCACACAGCCGAGGGGCAGUACAACACAGCACAUGCCGCCAUGCGUUCCGUAGUGGAGAGGUGCAUUGGGCUCUUAAAGAGCCGUUUCCGCUGUCUUCAGCGAUAUCGCACCCUCCUCUACGAGCCGGAACGUGCAGCCAACAUUGUCGCGGCAUGUGCUGUGUUGCACAACCUUCGCCUUUCUGAAGGCGAC